AUCUGCAGUCAAGGCAGAGGAGGGAGGGGGGUGGCUACGGUCCUCAUGGCAACUGUAUGUAUACACUGGGUGUUCCCGAAAGUCAGGUCCUGAAAAAUCCUUAAAAGAUGGCAUUGUCUAUGCUGGAUGUGCUUCGGGUGUGCACCGUACUGGAGGACAGCCUAGAUCAACUCUCCGUUCUUGGAUACAUCAUGCCUGUCUCUUACCAUGGCCGCAGUGAUAUAGUUGGAAAUGAAAUUGGAAAGAUUCUAAAAACACAAAGACAACUGGAAGGGCAAUUCGAAGCC